CUGCAGCAGUGGGGAUGUGGUGUCUGGCCGGCCCUGGGAUGGGAGCAUCACCGCUCCCCACAGGUCAUUAUCUGGGAUGCUGAGUCCCUGAAGGUUCCCCUGCCAGGUGGGGGUUCAGAGCCACGCAGGGGAUGUUGGGCUUUCUCUGUGCCCCACUGCCCAUGCAGCUGCUGCACUGAGUGAGCUGGGAUUGGUGACACUGCGUGCAGCACUGCUCCUCCAGGACACACCAGGAAACGCCUUAUGGAAACAGCAACAAUGCCGCUGAGCCCUGCGCCGUCCCCUGGCUCCCAGCUGCCAGACGGAGGCAAUGUCGCAGCUGCCAUGGCCCGGAUCCAUGUGGCUUAUUAAUAAUCAACUUUUAUUGCUGCCCGUCUGCAGACAGCCGUGUGUGUGGGACUCAGUCCUUUUGUCCUCAGCAUCAGGGUGAGAAAUGUGGCACGGCUUUGGGGAAAAAAAC
rnacentral:lncRNA from 1 species